GACGAGGGGUCCUAGCGUUGUUCGGAAUCACUGGGCGUAAAGAGUUCGUAGGCGGCUCCAAAAGUCGGGUGUGAAAUCCCACGGCUCAACCGUGGAAGUGCAUUCGAAACUGCAGGGCUAGAGUCCUGGAGAGGAAGGUGGAAUGCUUGGUGUAGAGGUGAAAUUCGUAGAUAUCAAGCGGAACACCGGUGGCGAAGGCGGCCUUCUGGACAGUGACUGACGCUGAGACGCGAAAGCGUGGGGAGCAAACAGGG
rnacentral:rRNA from 1 species